rnacentral:rRNA from 1 species
AUUGAACGCUGGCGGCAGGCCUAACACCUGCAAGUCGAACGAGUGGCGGACGGGUGAGUAAUGUCUGGGAAACUGCCCGAUGGAGGGGGAUAACUACUGGAAACGGUAGCUAAAAACGCAUACCAUCGGAUGUGCCCAGGUGGGAUUAGCUAGUAGGUGGGGUAACGGCUCACCUAGGCGACGCUCCCUAGCUGGUCGGCUAGGAUGAACAGCCACACUGGAAGUGAGACAAGUUCCAGACUACUACGCGAGUCAGCAGUGGGGAAUAUUGCACAAUGGGCGCGAGCCUGAUGCAGCCAUGCCGCGUGGAUUAAGAAGGCCGUCGGGUUGGAAAGUACGUGCAGCGAGGAUGCGUUACUCGCAGAAGAAGCACCGGCUAACUCCGUGCCAGCAGCCGCGGUAAUUC